rnacentral:rRNA from 1 species
CUUUCCUAUAGCUUCACAUUGACAUCGGCUGCCCGAUGUGUAGGAUAGGUGGGAGACUUUGAAGCUGCGUCGCUAGGCGUGGUGGAGUCAACGUUGAAAUACCACCCUUCUGUCAUCUGAUGUCUAAUCCCUGCGAAACAGGGAAACAGUGUGUGGUGGGUAGUUUGACUGGGGUGGUCGCCUCCAAAAGUGUAUCGGAGGCUUUCAAAGGUUCCCUCAGCACGCUUGGUAACCGUGCGUUGAGUGCAUUGGCAUAAGGGAGCUUGACUGCGAGACCAACAAGUCGAACAGGUACGAAAGUAGGACAAAGUGAUCCGGUGGUUCCGUAUGGAAGGGCCAUCGCUCAUAGGAUAAAAGGUA